rnacentral:rRNA from 1 species
AUUGAACGCUGGCGGCAUGCCUUACACAUGCAAGUCGAACGGCAGCAUAGGAGCUUGCUCCUGAUGGCGAGUGGCGAACGGGUGAGUAAUAUAUCGGAACGUGCCCUAGAGUGGGGGAUAACUAGUCGAAAGACCAGCUAAUACCGCAUACGAUCUACGGAUGAAAGUGGGGGAUCGCAAGACCUCAUGCUCCUGGAGCGGCCGAUAUCUGAUUAGCUAGUUGGUGGGGUAAAAGCCUACCAAGACGACGAUCAGUAGCUGGUCUGAGAGGACGACCAGCCACACUGGGACUGAGACACGGCCCAGACUCCUACGGGAGGCAGCAGUGGGGAAUUUUGGACAAUGGGGGCAACCCUGAUCCAGCAAUGCCGCGUGAGUGAAGAAGGCCUUCGGGUUGUAAAGCUCUUUUGUCAGGGAAGAAACGGUAGUAGCUAAUAUCUAUUACUAAUGACGGUACCUGAAGAAUAAGCACCGGCUAACUACGUGCCAGCCGCCGCCGUAA